CCUACGGGAGGCAGCAGUGAGGAAUAUUGGUCAAUGGACGAGAGUCUGAACCAGCCAAGUAGCGUGAAGGAUGACUGCUCUAUGGGUUGUAAACUUCUUUUAUAUGGGAAUAAAAUGUUCCACGUGUGGGAUUUUGUAUGUACCAUAUGAAUAAGGAUCGGCUAACUCCGUGCCAGCAGCCGCGGUAAUACGGAGGAUCCGAGCGUUAUCCGGAUUUCUUGGGUUUAAAGGGAGCGUAGGUGGAUUGUUAAGUCAGUUGUGAAAGUUUGCGGCUCAACCGUAAAAUUGCAGUUGAAACUGGCAGUCUUGAGUACAGUAGAGGUGGGCGGAAUUCGUGGUGUAGCGGUGAAAUGCUUAGAUAUCACGAAGAACUCCGAUUGCGAAGGCAGCUCACUGGACUGCAACUGACACUGAGGCUCGAAAGUGUGGGUAUCAAACAGGAUUAGAUACCCCAGUAGUC
rnacentral:rRNA from 1 species